UGGGUGUCCGGGCUGGAGGCCGUCACACUGCCCGAGAGCAAUGAGCCUGGCUGUCUCACAGUGAACCGGUCUCUUUCCCUGGCAACCCC
ensembl:miRNA pma-mir-128-1 pma-mir-128-1